UCCUGGCUCAGAGCGAACGCUGGCGGCAGGCUUAACACAUGCAAGUCGAGCGGACCUUUCGGGGUCAGCGGCGGACGGGUGAGUAACGCGUGGGAACGUGCCUUCCGGUUCGGAAUAACCCUGGGAAACUAGGGCUAAUACCGGAUACGCCCUUAUGGGGAAAGGUUUACUGCCGGAAGAUCGGCCCGCGUCUGAUUAGCUAGUUGGUGGGGUAACGGCCUACCAAGGCGACGAUCAGUAGCUGGUCUGAGAGGAUGAUCAGCCACACUGGGACUGAGACACGGCCCAGACUCCUACGGGAGGCAGCAGUGGGGAAUAUUGGACAAUGGGCGCAAGCCUGAUCCAGCCAUGCCGCGUGAGUGAUGAAGGCCUUAGGGUUGUAAAGCUCUUUUAUCCGGGACGAUAAUGACGGUACCGGAGGAAUAAGCCCCGGCUAACUUCGUGCCAGCAGCCGCGGUAAUACGAAGGGGGCUAGCGUUGCUCGGAAUCACUGGGCGUAAAGGGCGCGUAGGCGGCGUUUUAAGUCGGGGGUGAAAGCCUGUGGCUCAACCACAGAAUGGCCUUCGAUACUGGGACGCUUGAGUAUGGUAGAGGUUGGUGGAACUGCGAGUGUAGAGGUGAAAUUGGA
rnacentral:rRNA from 1 species